GCCGGAAAGCUCUACAGGACACAAGCCCUGAGGAAAAGGGCUGGACUUCAAGAUAAACUUAUUUUUCUCCAAACACAAAUGCUACCAGCAAAGUGAUGGUUGCAACAAGAAGGAUGGCUUUCCUGUCCCAUGCUCAGCCCAAUACAUUGGUAACCCUGGACUAUAAAGAUUUCCGAAAACGUUGGUUCUGGUGCUCCAGCAGGUGGCCAAAGGCUUUGUUUCUGAUGGGCAUGGCAUAUAAUAAACACAAAGGUCUGGACUCUGGAGCUGGGCAAAUAAUUCAUAAUGAAUUAUUCAUCAGAUGAAUCUCUCUCACUUCUUCCUGAGUUUUCU